UAGGGAAUAUUAGAAAUGGACGAAAGUCUGAUCUAGCAACACCGCGUGUGCGAUGAAGGCCUUCGGGUUGUAAAGCACUUUUUGGAAGGAUUAGGAAGGAAUGUACUUCCAGAAUAAGUCUCGGCUAACUACGUGCCAGCAGCCGCGGUAACACGUAGGAGGCGAACGUUAUCCGGAUUUACUGGGCGUAAAGCGCGUGUAGGUGGUUCUGUAAGUAGGGCGUGAAAGCUCCUGGCUCAACUGGGAGAGGCCGUUCUAAACUGCAGAGCUAGAGGAUGGUAGAGGGAGGUGGAAUUCCGGGUGUAGCGGUGGAAUGCGCAGAUAUCCGGAGGAACACCCGUGGCGAAGGCGGCCUCCUGGACUAUUCCUGACACUCAGACGCGAAAGCUAGGGUAGCAAACG
rnacentral:rRNA from 1 species